rnacentral:rRNA from 1 species
UCUGGCUCAGAAUGAACGCUAUUAAUAUGCUUUACACAUGCAAGUUGAAUGAUUUUUAAACAAUCAUAGCGAACGGGUGUAGAAAAUACGGGAAUCUGCCUUAUAAUCCGGAAUAAUUAUACUGUAUUAACGGGAAUUGCUUUUUUUAACUUAUUAAAAAAGUAAGUAAAAAUACCGGAUAAAUUAAAAAAGAAUCUUUUCUGUUAUAAGAUGAGCCCGUAUAGGAUUUAGGUAGUUGGUAAGGUAAAGGCUUACCAAGCCUAUGAUCCUUAGCUGGUCUGAAAGGAUGUACAGCCACACUGGGACUGAGACACGGCCCAGACUCCGUUAGGAGGCAGCAGUGAGGAAUAUUGGACAAUGAGCGAAAGCUUGAUCCAGCAAUAUUAAAAAAAAGGAAGACGGCUACAUUAUUCAGGUCUUAAACUUUUGUUCGUUUCAAAAAGGAAUAUGACAGUAUUUGAAUGAAAGCCCGGCUAACCUCGUG